rnacentral:tRNA from 2 species
ACUAUUUUGGCAGAAAAGUGCCAUGGAUUUAGAAUCCAUAAAUGUGAGUUGAUCUUACAGAUAGUA